GGAGACAGUAUCGGAUACUGGGGCGUAAGCGCAUGCAGGUGGUUUGUUAAGUCAGAUGUGAAAGCCCGGGGCUCAACCUCGGAAUUGCAUUUGAAACUGGCAGACUAGAGUACUGUAGAGGGGGGUAGAAUUUCAGGUGUAGCGGUGAAAUGCGUAGAGAUCUGAAGGAAUACCGGUGGCGAAGGCGGCCCCCUGGACAGAUACUGACACUCAGAUGCGAAAGCGUGGGGAGCAAACAGGAUUAGAUACCCUGGUAGUCCACGCCGUAAACGAUGUCUACUUGGAGGUUGUGGCCUUGAGCCGUGGCUUUCGGAGCUAACGCGUUAAGUAGACCGCCUGGGGAGUACGGUCGCAAGAUUAAAACUCAAAUGAAUUGACGGGGGCCCGCACAAGCGGUGGAGCAUGUGGUUUAAUUCGAUGCAACGCGAAGAACCUUACCUACUCUUGACAUCCAGAGAACUUUCCAGAGAUGGAUUGGUGCCUUCGGGAACUCUGAGACAGGUGCUGCAUGGCUGUCGUCAGCUCGUGUUGUGAAAUGUUGGGUUAAGUCCCGCAACGAGCGCAACCCUUAUCCUUGUUUGCCAGCGAGUAAUGUCGGGAACUCCAGGGAGACUGCCGGUGAUAAACCGGAGGAAGGUGGGGACGACGUCAAGUCAUCAUGGCCCUUACGAGUAGGGCUACACACGUGCUACAAUGGCGCAUACAGAGGGCAGCCAACUUGCGAGAGUGAGCGAAUCCCAAAAAGUGCGUCGUAGUCCGGAUCGGAGUCUGCAACUCGACUCCGUGAAGUCGGAAUCGCUAGUAAUCGUGGAUCAGAAUGCCACGGUGAAUACGUUCCCGGGCCUUGUACACACCGCCCGUCACACCAUGGGAGUGGGCUGCAAAAGAAGUAGGUAGUUUAACCUUCGGGAGGACGCUUACCACUUUGUGGUUCAUGACUGGGGUGAAUCUAAGGGGGGAGCCCCCCAAAAAAAGCCUUCAUAAAAUCCCU
rnacentral:rRNA from 1 species